rnacentral:rRNA from 1 species
GUUGGCAGCCGUACCACCAUUAUAAUACCCAAUCUCGUUUGAUCUCAGAAGCUAAGCGGGGUUGGCCCUGGUUAGUGCUUGGAUGGGAGACUGCUGGGCAUACCGCGCGCCACAG